UACGUAGGGUGCAAGCGUUAUUCGGAAUUACUGGGCGUAAAGGGUGCGUAGGUGGUUUGUUAAGUCUGCUGUGAAAUCCCCGGGCUCAACCUGGGAAUGGCAGUGGAUACUGGCAAGCUAGAGUGCGGUAGAGGGUAGUGGAAUUCCCGGUGUAGCAGUGAAAUGCGUAGAGAUCGGGAGGAACACCAGUGGCGAAGGCGGCUACCUGGACCAGCACUGACACUGAAGCACGAAAGCGUGGGGAGCAAACAGG
rnacentral:rRNA from 1 species